AAUAUUCGACAAUUUGGGCAAUCCUGAUCUAGCCAUGCUGCUUGUCUGAAGAAGGUCUUCUGAUUUUAAAGCACUUUAAGUUGGGAGGAAGGGCUUUAGGCUAAUACCCUGAAGUUUUGACGUUACCAACUGAAUAAGCACCGGCUAACUCUGUGCCAGCAGCCGCGGUAAUACAGAGGGUGCAAGCGUUAAUCGGAAUUACUGGGCGUAAGGCGCGCGUAGGUGGUUCAGUAAGAUGGGUGUGAAGUCCCCGGGCUUAACCUGGGAACUGCUUUCAUAACUGCUGAGCUAGAGUACGGUAGAGGGUAGUGGAAUUUCCUGUGUAGCGGUGAAAUGCGUAGAUAUAGGAAGGAACACCAGUGGCGAAGGCGACUACCUGGACUGAUACUGACACUGAGGUGCGAAAGCGUGGGGAGCAAACA
rnacentral:rRNA from 1 species